rnacentral:lncRNA from 1 species
GCUGAUGGCUGCUGCAUUUAUAGCCUAAGUGAUCAAGUGACUGCCUGUUAAGCCCAAAUCAAUGCACAAGUGUUUAUUUAUUUGAUGCAGAUGAAGAAUUUCAGGAAAGAUUUGAGAGACUUUAAAAAUCUGGCUUUGGGAAUUCAUCUUCUCCAUCUCUUUUGAUCUAAACCAGUGUAACUUGCUUUACAAUCAGUUUUCAGUGGAACCACAGAUGAGGGGUAGAUAUUGCAACUUUGAGAAAUUCCAUACGAAAGGCCAUGCACAAGAAACUUCCUUGUGUUUCUGUCAAGCAGUAAGGGAUGGAAAAGGCAAUGUUCAGCCCACUACAUCUUGGAAAAAAAUGGAUGAAAUUUCACAGGAUUGAAGAAAUUUUUCCAGUUUUUUUCUCUGCUGAAUUUCAAACAUUUCAUGCAUUGAUCCAGGCAAGAUUGUCAGUUCCAUCUUCCUCACAAAGAAACAGGAAAGAUUGGGAUGAUGAACUGGUGCCAUAUGCAAGAGUAGCAGUGUUCCCUUCUGCUGGAAAGAGACCUUCCCCAUCCAUGUGGGCAAAAGGCUCACUUAAAAGGUGUCAGACUGGGGAUCUACACGCCAUGGGAUGGUGAUAUAAUUUCCUCUUAAUGUGUAAUUCCUUAGAGCAUUCAUCUUGCUGACUACAAUUCAUCAUUAGGCUUUUCUGAUUAGCUGGUGAACUAUCACCGACCCCUCCCCCAGUUCAAAUGCAUUGCAGCAUUCUUUCUUUGAAGUUUAUAAUUCUUUCCCAUAGCUAAAGAUUAUAUUUCUCAUUUCUCUGCAUGACUUUGUAUUACGCUGUCAUGUAACACUUGGAUUCAGGCAACCAAACAGAUUAUUAUUUAUCAUUAUUUACUCUGUCCAUAACAUCUCUGUAAUUUAUACACUUCAUUUAUACCUAUGCUACUUCUUUGGGACUGCUGAUUUUCAAAUUAAAUCUAAAUCUAAGAUACCCCAAAAUAAAUACAUUCCUCUCAUUGAGAUUCCUCUCCUA